rnacentral:lncRNA from 1 species
CGCCGUGCGGUGCGGGCUGGUGGCGGGGCGUGGGGAGCGGGGCGGGGCGAGAGCAAAGCAUACUUACCUGGCAGGGGAGACACCAUGAUCAGGCAGGUGGUUUUCCCAGGGCGAGGCUCAUCCCCUGCACUCCGGGUGUGCUGACCCCUGCGAUUUCCCCAAAUGCGGGAAACUCGACUGCAUAAUUUGUGGUAGUGGGGGACUGCGUUCGCGCUCUCCCCUGAUUUGCGUGGUU